rnacentral:tRNA from 1 species
AAACUUUUAGUAUAAUUAAGUAUGUUUAAUUGCAAAUUAAACGGUAAAAAGUUUUG